rnacentral:rRNA from 1 species
ACUCCUACGGGAGUCAGCAGUGGGGAAUAUUGCACAAUGGGCGCAAGCCUGAUGCAGCAACGCCGUGUGAGUGAAGAAGGUUUUCGGAUCGUAAACUCUGUCCUAAGGGAAGAAAAAAUAGACGGUACCUUAGGAGGAAGCCCGGCUAACUACGUGCCAGCAGCCGCGGUAAUACGUAGGGGCAAGCGUUAUCCGGAAUCACUGGGCGUAAAGGUGCGUAGGCGGCUUAGCAAGCCAGGGUGAAAGGCAUUGGCUCAACCAAUGUAAGCCUUUGGAACUGUUAAGCUUGAGUGCAGGAGAGGUAAGUGGAAUUCCUAGUGUAGAGGUGAAAUUCGUAGAUAUUAGGAGGAACACCAGUGGCGAAGGCGACUUACUGGACUGUAACUGACGCUGAUGCACG